UGGGGAAUAUUGCACAAUGGGCGCAAGCCUGAUGCAGCCAUGCCGCGUGUAUGAAGAAGGCCUUCGGGUUGUAAAGUACUUUCAGCGGGGAGGAAGGGAGUAAAGUUAAUACCUUUGCUCAUUGACGUUACCCGCAGAAGAAGCACCGGCUAACUCCGUGCAAGCAGCCGCGGUAAUACGGAGGGUGCAAGCGUUAAUCGGAAUUACUGGGCGUAAAGCGCACGCAGGCGGUUUGUUAAGUCAGAUGUGAAAUCCUCGGGCUCAACCUGGGAACUGCAUCUGAUACUGGCAAGCUUGAGUCUCGUAGAGGGGGGUAGAAUUCCAGGUGUAGCGGUGAAAUGCGUAGAGAUCUGGAGGAAUACCGGUGGCGAAGGCGGCCCCCUGGACGAAGACUGACGCUCAGGUGCGAAAGCGUGGGGAGCAAACAGG
rnacentral:rRNA from 1 species